rnacentral:lncRNA from 1 species
ACCUACAGUUCCUCUUUUGGCUGCUCACAAAAGGCAAGCGUCUGUAGAAACUGUUGUGAAAAAUUAUGAAGAACACUAUGCUGCUAUGCACAUUCAAGUAGCUUUUAGGAGAUACUUGGACCGCAAAAGCCUGCGGAGACCUACAGUUCCUCUUUUGGCUGCUCACAAAAGGCGAGCGUCUGUAGAAACUGUUGUGAAAAAUUAUGAAGAACACUAUGCUGCUACGUGCAUUCAAGUAGCUUUUAGGAGAUACUUGGACCGCAAAAGCCUGCGGAGACCUACAGUUCCUUUUUUGGCUGCUCACAAAAGGCGAGCGUCUGUAGAAACUGUUGUGAAAAAUUAUGAAGAACACUAUGCUGCUACGCGCAUUCAAGUAGCUUUUAGGAGAUACUUGGACCGCAAAAGCCUGAGGAGACUAGUAGUUCUGCAAAAUGCUAUCCAAACC